rnacentral:misc_RNA from 1 species
GAAUUGCGAUAAGUAAUGUGAAUUGCAGAAUUCAGUGAAUCAUCGAAUCUUUGAACGCACAUUGCGCCCGCCAGUAUUCUGGCGGGCAUGCCUGUCCGAGCGUCAUUUCAACCAUCAAGCCCCCGGGCUUGUGUUGGGGACCUGCGGCUGCCCGCAGGCCCUGAAAACCAGUGGCGGGCUCGCUGUCACACCGAGCGUAGUAGCAAUCACCUCGCUCAGGGCGUGCUGCGGGUUCCGGCCGUUAAACAGCCUUACAAAACCCAAGGUUGACCUCGGAUCAGGUAGGAAGACCCGCUGAACUUAAGC